CCUUCUCUAGCUCAGUUGGUAGAGCAUCAGACUGUAAUUGGUUACUGUUAUCUGGGUGUCAGCUGUUCGAUCCAGCUGAGAAGGA